rnacentral:lncRNA from 1 species
GCUUACAAUAUAUAUCUAAGAAUAAUACAUGUUUAUAAUCACUAACUAAAUUUUUUUAAAUAGAGAAUACAUAAUUUUAGUUGGAUGGUAAUGCCGUUAAUCACAAAUAGCCGUGUUUGAGGGGUCCAGUACUUCACGCCUAAAUAACUUUUCUCGUUGAUAAUAAUUACAUUUAAAAACUUUUCCUACCCACAAUCCAUAUUAUUAAUUUAUUAGUUUCAUAUUUGGUGGUUACUAUUGAGUAUUGACUUAUCGCUAGAAGGCUGCAUCGUCAUCCUCGCAACUAGUCCGGCUACGCGCAAUUUAGUGCAAAAGGUAUUCCAUGCUAACGUGUGCGUGAUUUAACAGAUCCCAAUGUAGAAUAUUCACGUGAGGUUUUUGCAUGGAUGUAAUCACCAAGGAUCACUAUGUUGUAAGAGCGAAUCUCAGCCUUUGAUAUCUGCAUGGAGAUCUUACAUUCUCAUUUUUGGCCAAAAAUAUUCCUUUUUAUAAAGAAAAGGCCUAUCCAAAAAUACAUUUUUGAAUGCUUAUUCUACGGGCAACAAGAUUUUGAUCCACAUUUUAAAAACAAAAAAAAUUGUUCUUUAAUAAAGCUCAAUUCAAAAAUAAUGUAAAGACACUAAAUUUUAUUUUAUGUUUCAAAAUUUUGUUAUCAAAUUAAAUGAAUAGCUGUGAAAAAUAUAUUAUUAAUAAUAUAUAGAUGGUUCGUUAUAUAUAAACUAAAAUAAGAAAUUAAUAUUUGCGAGAUUAUUUUUAGAUAUGUGCUUGGUAUUAAAGAUGAUCAUUUUGCUAUGUAUUGUAAACAAAAUAAAAUUUGAUUUUAGUUUUAUAUAUAUAUAUAUAUAUAUAUAUUUUCUGUUUAGACGUUUUUGAUUCACGCUUUCAAAAAAAGAGAUUAGUUUUUGAGAUUUUGUUAUUUUACUCGACUAAAACUUUGAAACUUUCGGAUAAUUUUUACUGUAAUAUGGUUAUGUUUGUUUAACUAGUUUGUUUAACCCAUUUCAUCUUGAUUUAUUUGUAAUGAUUUAAUCUGAAACUAAACCAAGUGUAACCUGCAGAAAAAAAAUAGCAAAACAACUUUUGUCACGAAGAACCAAGCAUAAACAAUGAUUACACUGGCAUGGAGCAUUUUGACCAUGAAUUGUCACCAGAAAAAAUCAUGUUAGUCCAACAUCAGAACAUCUACUACGAAUCUGCGGUGCAGUCGAAACUAGCUAAGAAUAAUUUUUUCUUGUAUGAAAACUACAACCAUUCACUAACCUAGCAGCACUAGAAGAAUAGGAAACAAGACACACAUAGGCAAGACUGCCUCACAAGUGAGAUGACGAGAAACGGGCAGACAGUAGGAGGAGAAGACUUAGACCCUUGAAGCACUGGAUACAUAUACGCGAUGAACACAUGUAGACAUUUGACCUGUACGCGCUUAGACAGUAAAACAAUAAGCUGACACACGACGACUUCAUGACACUAAGUACGCCUGGAUCUAGAAGAUAAACUUCCAAACAGUCACCCUUAAGACUGAAACAAGCAAAAAAACUACCCUCAAAACACCGGAAAAGGAACUCACUGACAUAGAUAAACCUCCAAACCCACCACAAAUCUAAAAGAUAAUUGGACAUAUGAAGCUUAUAACGCACGCUACUAGCCGAACAACACUUCAACACCUUUGUCAACAAAACCAGAUCAAAAAAUAAAAAUGUAUGUAGUAUCAACAUCAAACCUUAAAAUCGGACUCCGCUUAGAGCACACACCCUUGAACUCUCUCACCGAAACAACAUAGAGUCGGAAUGGGAUGUCUGCCACCAAAUCCACCGACGAGGCAAUGGACAUAGAUAGUGACAACCGCCAGAGCUCUGAGCAUAUAGUAUAUCAAAAAGAAAAAAAUACACCACCAUGUGUGCAUCUAGAUGUGUCUUAAAUCUCUGUGCACCAAUAAAAAUCUGACAUUUGUUUGGUUGGAUGUAGGCGCUAGGAAGAUAAAUUCGCUAUCAAGGUUGACAUCUAGGGGGUGCAGGGGCUGCAGGCCCCCGCAGUACAGUAUGUCUUUUCGGUUUAGGAAAUUUGUUUUUUCUAAAUAGGUAUAUAUUUUUAUAUAGAAAAGAAAAUCAGGUUUUGAAUCUGCUUUAAAUACUAGUCUAUGGAUUUGUAAAAUUAUUGUUUCACAUAAUAAUAAAAAAUCCGAAAUGAGUAUUUGCCUAAAUACGUUUUUGUUCUCUAUUAUUUUCUUCAAAGUUGAUUCGCGUUUGUUCACAACACCAUGAAAUAAUGGAGGAAAUAUUGAAAUAAGUGAGGAGACCUCAUGUACCUACAAAUAAUCGAAAAAGUUAUGAUUUUUUUUUGCUAAACAGUAAAUAACAUUUUAUUAUUUGUUUUUGAGAAAGAGAAAAAGAGACUCAUCGGAUUAAGACUCUCAAAAAAAUUAUAGUUUUUUCAAAAUGCAUAAUCAUUGAAUUGCAGGUAACUAAAUUUUUUUACAUUAUUUGGCCAUUUUCUCUAUUUGGUGUGGUUGAUUGAUGAGGAACUGAGGAUCAUACCCCGAACAACGAUGUCCCCCACCAAGCGAAGCGAGGCACAAGAUCCUACACUGCAAAGUUUUUUAUUUAGCUACAAUGCAGAGUUUUUCUUUUG